AAGAUUGAACGCUGGCGGAAUGCUUAACACAUGCAAGUCGAGCGGGGUGUAUGCAAUACAUCUAGCGGCGGACGGGUGAGGAUACUACAUAGGAAUCUGCCUCAGAGUGGGGGAUAACCCGGGGAAACUCGGAUUAAUACCGCAUUAUGUCGAAAGACCAAAGCAGGGGAUCGUAAGACCUUGCGCUUUGAGAUGAGCCUAUUUCGGAUUAGCUAGUUGGUGAGGUAAUACCUCACCAAGGCUACGAUCCGUAGCUGGUCUGAGAGGACGAUCAGCCACACCGGAACUGAGACACGGUCCGGACUCCUACGGGAGGCAGCAGUAGGGAAUAUUGGACAAUGGGCGCAAGCCUGAUCCAGCAAUUCCGCGUGUGUGAAGAAGGCUUCGGGUUGUAAAGCACUUUAGGUUGGGACGAAAAAAUCGGAGCGAAUACCUCCGAUCUUGACGGUACCGACAGAAUAAGCACCGGCUAACUCUGUGCCAGCAGCCGCGGUAAUACAGAGGGUGCAAGCGUUAAUCGGAUUUACUGGGCGUAAAGCGUGCGUAGGCGGUCAGAUAAGUCGGAUGUGAAAUCCCUGGGCUCAACCUGGGAACUGCAUUCGAUACUGUCUGACUAGAAUUCGGUAGAGGGUGGCGGAACUCCGGGUGUAGCGGUGAAAUGCGUAGAUAUCCGGAAGAACACCGAUGGCGAAGGCAACCACCUGGGCCUGAAUUGACGCUUAGCCACGAAAGCGUGGGAGCAAACAGGAU
rnacentral:rRNA from 1 species